rnacentral:rRNA from 1 species
CUGGCUCAGAACGAACGCUGGCGGCAGGCCUAACACAUGCAAGUCGAGCGCGCCCUUCGGGGUGAGCGGCGGACGGGUGAGUAACGCGUGGAACGUGCCCUUCUCUACGGAAUAGUCUCGGGAAACUCGGGGUAAUGCCGUAUACGCCCUUCGGAGGAAAGAUUUAUCGGGGAAGGAUCGGCCCGCGUUGGAUUAGGUAGUUGGUGGGGUAAUGGCCUACCAAGCCGACGAUCCAUAGCUGGUUUGAGAGGAUGAUCAGCCACACUGGGACUGAGACACGGCCCAGAC